UUCGGGAAACCGGAGCUAAUACCGGAUAAUAUUUUGAACCGCAUGGUUCAAAAGUGAAAGACGGUCUUGCUGUCACUUAUAGAUGGAUCCGCGCUGCAUUAGCUAGUUGGUAAGGUAACGGCUUACCAAGGCAACGAUGCAUAGCCGACCUGAGAGGGUGAUCGGCCACACUGGAACUGAGACACGGUCCAGACUCCUACGGGAGGCAGCAGUAGGGAAUCUUCCGCAAUGGGCGAAAGCCUGACGGAGCAACGCCGCGUGAGUGAUGAAGGUCUUCGGAUCGUAAAACUCUGUUAUUAGGGAAGAACAUAUGUGUAAGUAACUGUGCACAUCUUGACGGUACCUAAUCAGAAAGCCACGGCUAACUACGUGCCAGCAGCCGCGGUAAUACGUAGGUGGCAAGCGUUAUCCGGAAUUAUUGGGCGUAAAGCGCGCGUAGGCGGUUUUUUAAGUCUGAUGUGAAAGCCCACGGCUCAACCGUGGAGGGUCAUUGGAAACUGGAAAACUUGAGUGCAGAAGAGGAAAGUGGAAUUCCAUGUGUAGCGGUGAAAUGCGCAGAGAUAUGGAGGAACACCAGUGGCGAAGGCGACUUUCUGGUCUGUAACUGACGCUGAUGUGCGAAAGCGUGGGGAUCAAACAGGAUUAGAUACCCUGGUAGUCCACGCCGUAAACGAUGAGUGCUAAGUGUUAGGGGGUUUCCGCCCCUUAGUGCUGCAGCUAACGCAUUAAGCACUCCGCCUGGGGAGUACGACCGCAAGGUUGAAACUCAAAGGAAUUGACGGGGACCCGCACAAGCGGUGGAGCAUGUGGUUUAAUUCGAAGCAACGCGAAGAACCUUACCAAAUCUUGACAUCCUUUGACAACUCUAGAGAUAGAGCCUUCCCCUUCGGGGGACAAAGUGACAGGUGGUGCAUGGUUGUCGUCAGCUCGUGUCGUGAGAUGUUGGGUUAAGUCCCGCAACGAGCGCAACCCUUAAGCUUAGUUGCCAUCAUUAAGUUGGGCACUCUAAGUUGACUGCCGGUGACAAACCGGAGGAAGGUGGGGAUGACGUCAAAUCAUCAUGCCCCUUAUGAUUUGGGCUACACACGUGCUACAAUGGACAAUACAAAGGGCAGCGAAACCGCGAGGUCAAGCAAAUCCCAUAAAGUUGUUCUCAGUUCGGAUUGUAGUCUGCAACUCGACUACAUGAAGCUGGAAUCGCUAGUAAUCGUAGAUCAGCAUGCUACGGUGAAUACGUUCCCGGGUCUUGUACACACCGCCCGUCACACCACGAGAGUUUGUAACACCCGAAGCCGGUGGAGUAACCUUUUAGGAGCUAGCCGUCGAAGGUGGGACAAAUGAUUGGGGUGAAGUCGUAACAAGGUAGCCGUAUCGGAAGGUGCGGCUGGAUCACCU
rnacentral:rRNA from 1 species